UUUGUAAUAGACAUAACAUGAUGCCAUAUUUUCUUAUCAGCAGAGAAGCACCAAGAAAAAGAAACAAGGCAAAAAGAGCCUCUGCAAUGGCUCACAAAAUAUUUUCUGCUUCAGGUUUUCCUACACAAAAAGGAAUGUCGUCUGUAUCCAGGCUAUGACGGAUUUCAAAAACAGAUCCUGAAAGGUCAUUGCAACUUACAAGAAAAGAAAAGUGGUGUUAGUCAUGAGAAGAGUGACCCCCGUGUCCCAGCCCGGCUGCAGAAGCGCGAACCAUGACUUACCGAUGGCUACUCCCCACAGCCGCUCUUCUUGGAAUUGCAACAUCUGCAACAUGAAUACCUGAAGAGAAAGGUGUAUGAGAAAGACCACAAAAAAGAGAAGCACUGUGAACAAGGACAAUGUUUUCAGAGAGAAAAGCCUGCAGAUCUCAAUGUAUGUUCCGUGACAACAGUGAAACCUACCUUUAGGAAAAACUUAACACUAUUCUGGAGUAAAAUGGCCUAAAGCCUAUUUUAAAAGGUUUUUGCAGUUUAUUAAACCAGCAAAUCAGAAACUUUAAAUGUAAAAAUUCCACUUUUCAUUAUGUCCCCAAAUAAUAAAUAUUUACUACUCAUAAUAAUA